rnacentral:pre_miRNA from 1 species
ACCAGUUACUUUAUCAGCGAGUGAGUAGGCAUGCAUGCCUACUCGCACGCUGAUGAAGUAUUAUAA